UGCCCUACCUCCCCCUCCGCCAGCCACGUCCACCGUCGCCGACUUGGCUCCGCCGCCGUUCCCGUCCGGCACCACCCCGAACUCCGAGAACGAGACCUGCGCCGAUCGCCACACGGACAUCAAAUCUCGUAAGACAUGGGGAUGUAGGAGGGCUUGGAUCCGACCAAGUCGAGCUCGAAGACGCCAUCGGGCGGGGGAAACGGCCCGGGAGGCGGCGCACCGCCGUCCCCCACGGUAGCUUUGGCGUGAACCGGGACGACGCCGUCUCCCUGCUGGUAUCGCUCGUCCAUCGAUGUGGCAUGCUCCAGAUCCAGGUACGUUUCUACGUCCGAGAAGAAGUGGUCCACCUGUUUGCCGUCCGGCUUUUUCAUCAAGCCAUUAGCACAAAGAUUGGGGAGGAGCCAGGAGGCGGCGGCGGAGGCGAGGGGCUCGAGGAAGGGGACGACGGCGGCGCGUUCGUGGCGGAGGGCGAGGGGGUUGGCGGAGUGGAUGUCGGCGUCGCAGGCGGCGCAGAUUGCGGCGGCGUCGGCCUUGCAGGUAACACUGGCGGGGGCCUGCUCGCAGACCUCGCACACCCACACGCGCCCGUGGCGCGGCCGCGCCCCGUGCAAGCGCGCGUCGCACUCGCCGCACAGGUAGUCACCGUCCGCACGGCAGUAGAGCAGGGCCGGGGCGGACUUGCAAGAGUCGCACCGCCGCGCCCCGACUGCGAUCCAAUACCCGUCUUUCUCGCUCGCCAUCUCCCUCUCUCUCGUCUUCCUCCUGUUGGUUUCGGUUUACAUUAAGCCCGUCAUUUUAGUUAUUGUGGGAAUCAGAGUGGCUAGGUGUUGAGGCGAGGCGGGCCACGUGUCCAGAUCAGGAGCCACGAAAUAAGCGAAAAUAUUUUAGCUAAACCAAACUGGAUUGUCGCCGAGUGGGCCCUGGCCAGUCGGCCCUCACCAUCACGGGGCCCACAAGUUAGAACACCGAGUUCGGCUGCUCCCGUACGGAUCACGGGGUGGCGCGCGGAUGGUCAGGACGGUUGGCAUUAGCGAACGUGUUAGCGUAGGGCAUGCUUUGAUCGUCGAGCGAAACCUCAUGUUUCUAUUCAUCGCGUUCCGUAAUUAAAUAUGUACGGAAAAAACUAAAAAUCUAUUUAGUGAGUCGCAAAGGGAAAAAAAAGAGAAAAGAAAAGGAUCGGAUGUGAUUUUCCAUUGGUGGGUGAUCCGAUUGUUAAACCACUGGAAAGCUCGGUUAGAAGAUGGUCGCGUGGGAUUUUUAUCCUUUUUUGUUUUUGAGCUUGUCACAUUCAUCGUUUUUAAUUUCCUUCAAGUUUCUCUGGGCACGUCCCUUUUGCGUGUGAGUGGGACUCGGAUGUCCCACAAGGGUUUCACACUCGGUCUGGUGAUUUGGUUGCCGUCGCGCUACUGCAACGGGAUCCUUUACAGGAUAGGUGGUAAAGUGUACGCCCGGUGUGUGUGACGUGUUGGUCAUCCGUUUCAGGGGUCGCGUGGAUCAAUCGUGUAGAUGCACGGGAAUGCGGGUUCCGGGCACGCGACACUCCGAGAUGACCGCAGCGGAUCCGACAGUUGGUCGUUGAACAGGUCACAGGGCGUCGCGUCUUAGUGGGCCGGGAGAAAGGGACGCGCGUGGGGAAUAGGACUUGGGACAUAUCACACGCGGUCCCGAUGGGAUGGGAUGGGAUGGGAAGGGAUUUCAUUCCUGCGCUGGCAACGGAUUGGGUUGUGUUGGGUUGAAUAGAUUUGUCUUGUCGUUCUCCCUAGUAUACGUGUUGUCAAAUGCAAGGUCCACAUGUAUAAUGGUUGGUAGAUUAAUUGAAGACUGCAUGCUUUUAAACUAGGAUCCAUGACUGGUGGAGUUUCAGCGGACUGUAAUUGGUGCAGUCCCACUGAUGAACUAUAUAGUCCAUGAAUUCAAAUAAGAAGAGAAUUGGAUGGGGCUCAGUAAACAUUCCCUUAAUCUGCAAAUAUAUCGAGAUAUUGAUUGGUGUAAACUUAUUUAUUCAAAAGGGUAGAGGGAUAUAAAUCAGAUAUAGAAUAAGAUUCUAUGUAAUUGUAUAUUCAAAUGACAUGUAAUUUUAUUUUUCCUCGUAAAGCAGUUAAAAAUUGUUCUUCCUACAUUACAAAAGUUCACCUCUUAAUCUCAGCGGCAGAGUUCGAGACCAAGUUGAAUGAACUCUUCAAGCGUCCAGUGAUGCUUGCCCCAAUUCCUUCACCAACCUGUAAAGGUUUAGUUGGCCUGCCUGAAUCGUCGAAACAAAUUACUUCAUGUCUCUGUUUGAGUCAGAUCCAAUUAGUAUUUGGGAUGAUUGACCCGUGAAUUUUAGUCAUGUAAAGCAUCUUUCAUCUCGUGCACCACUGUCCUUUUUGUUACUAGAAUGCUGCUGUAGGGACACUCUACUCUAUACAGCAAUCCAAUUUCAUGACCAAGUAUGAAGUCCUUCAAUUUUAGGCUGUGGCUAACUCAAACAUGUGGUUGUUGGUAGUGAAUUGAUUCAGAAAUAUUUGGGCGAUGGUUACAAACUUUUCAAGGAACUCUUUAGAGCACCAAUUCUGACUCUCCUUGUAGACUUUAUUGAUGAGAUCGAUACAUAUGGGACUAAAAGGUGCUUGAAUGAAUGUAGUGGUUAUAUAUGGCCAAUUUUUUGUUCGUCUUUAAUGAUGCUUAAUGUGAUUAACAUGUUAACUUUGGGGAUAUUCUAGAUAUGAUGUCAAUUCUGGUGGAGAAAUUGAAAUUCAAAGAACAGCGUCAGAAUUGCUGAACCGCUGGACAAAUUUAUAUGGCCUUGACAUGAGAGACGAUGUCGUAUCGAUUCUUGCCUUUAAAGAAUCAAAAGCCUUUGAUCCAGCUUCGCUUUGGCCUGGCCAUUUGGGAAGAUUGAAUUUCCUCUGACUUACAUUAGGAUGAUGACAUAUUUUUCAGGAUGAGUUUUCUGGAGAUGAUAUCAUGGCAAUCGGUUCAUAAGAGGAUGAGUUUUCUGGAGAUGAUAUCAUGGCAAUCGGUUCAUAAGAGGAUGAGUUUUCUGGAGAUGAUAUCAUGGCAAUCUGUUCAUAAGCAGGCCUGCUCGCUUCAAAAGAACACAGAACGAAAGAAUGAUCGUCCCUACUGCAAGCAUCUGUGUUUUUCUUUGGUAGCAGCAUUAAAAUUGUUAUAUGAUGCAAAAGAAGGCCAUUCACAGAAACCAAAAAAGAGAAAACAUGGCAGGGCCAGCUUUAACUGUAGCUAAUGGCAAGGGGGAGGUACCUCCAUAUGUGUCUCAACCUUUCAAUCUCGGCUGAUUGCCUACUGCCCCGAUUGCAACAGUGGGGAGACCAGCCAUGGUGUGUGUGGUUUGGUUGUUUGUUGGCACAGAGGUCCAGUUUUGACUAUGCUCUAACCUUGUGGUUUUCAGUAUUACCAACUCUGUGAUUGUAAAAUCCAACUCUGUGAUGCUUAUUCUUCUUA